rnacentral:tRNA from 1 species
GGGGCUAUAGCUGGAAAGAGAGCGAGUGCUAUAUAUGCAAGGCAUGCUGGGGGUCAGCGGUUCGAAUCCGCUUGGCUCCA